UACGUAGGGUGCGAGCGUUGUCCGGAAUUACUGGGCGUAAAGGGCGCGUAGGCGGCCUUCUAAGUCGAACGUGAAAUCCCCGGGCUCAACCCGGGAACUGCGUCCGAUACUGGAAGGCUUGAAUCCGGGAGAGGGAUGCGGAAUUCCAGGUGUAGCGGUGAAAUGCGUAGAUAUCUGGAGGAACACCGGUGGCGAAGGCGGCAUCCUGGACCGGUAUUGACGCUGAGGCGCGGAAAGCCAGGGGAGCAAAGCGGGG
rnacentral:rRNA from 1 species